GUAAACGUAAACAGUACCCGACAUAUAAGAAAUCCAGUUCCGGUUUAGUUGUGCAAAUUGUUUUUGGCGAAAUACAAAAUUAAUACUAUUGGGGAAACCCAAAGUCCCGUAACCAACAUUUGUCAUACUUUUUAACAUUGAAUGUUUGUUUAACAGAAUAUUAACUUUUCUGGACAGCUUUGGCAAAUUAUUUAAGCAUUGUGACCUUUUGUUAUAUUAUACUCGGCUAAUUGUAAAAUGUCUCGUUUGAUCAAAUUUCUGAAUAUUGGAGUAGGCACGCUAAUCAUUAGCUGCUUGAGCAUCAAUGCAUUGACGACCCCUUUGAACGGCUCCAGAGGAAAUUUAAACCUUCCUAAUGUGCGAUGCUUUGUGCGCGAAAACUAUCGGAUUCCUCAAGCAGGAAAAAUUGUGGUGGUAUUUCAUAACGCUGGAAACUGCACGUGCCAAGGGGCCGCGGAUCAAGCCAGCAUUCGACGUGGAAUCGCCGAUUUUGUCCCACAGUGCAUUUCCGGUGGUACCGGGUUUAACAAAACGCAGAAAUGGAAUUUCAUGAAUCAAUGGUGGUGUGUGGAUCAAACUGGAAAUCCCCGUACUGAACCCGCAGACAUCAAGCCAGAUCUCAUACCGAGAUGUUGACCGCCACCACCACGAUACAGCUGAAAAUGCUUGGAAGUUUAACGAUGGGUUCUUUCAUUUUAUAUUUAUAUAUAGAAUGUAAAUUAUAUUAUGUAGAUAGCAAGCUUUAAUAAAGCUUUGCGAUAAAAAAUUACUUAUAACAUAAACAAUCUCAUGAUGUGAUUACAUAUAAAAGUACUCGUCAAUUUAAGUCGUUGUCUGCGUUUGACCGCAUCAGGCCGGCAGGUAUAAAGGAAAAGCGCCUAAAUUUGACUGAAUGAUAGUGAAUACUACGUAUAUUGAUUUAUACUUCUUUAUAUCUGUAGUAUAAAAAGGGUCACCUUGAUAUAAUAUAAUUCACAAAUUCCGCUCUUCCAAAUUUCUUAUUGCUGCUGCCUUCUGUAAUUAGGGAAGCUGAUUUUUGGCAAGAAUGGAACGUGAAACAACGUUGGAUAAUAACUAAAUCUUGUGAGGUUUGCUUUUCAAUCCUUCUAGAUACUUCCGCACUUGAUGGAACGUGCGUAAUACUGGAUCAUAAAGUAUCACCGAAUUUAGUGAGCAGGCUGUGGUUACUCGCACACUAUCCAGAAAGGGCAGAAGGCAAAUAGUUAUGAAUAUUAUUAAAUUUUACUAUAUUUACACUGUACUUCUAUACACAGCAUUCGAACAAGACAGUCAGCAUAUAAGUCUGCAAUUGUGCGGUGAUAGAAGUUUUUUAUAUAUGGCGUGACCUUUAACGUACAUUUAUUGUUGAUAUUAUAAGCACGAAAGUUUUGUUUUCCGUGUAGCGGCAAUAUUGCGCUGUUUUUCAUUCAUACAUAAAACGCAUGCUUCCAGUGAACAACACUUGUAAGCUGCAUCAUAAUUUGCCUGUCAAAGCACUACUGAUCUGACUAAUCUGCCGAAUAAGCUCAAAACCUUAGUGUUAUUUCCAUAUCUUGACGCGUUCCUGGAACUUUUGACCAGUGAUGAUGGGUAAUUAUUUCUGAACCCGGAAUGUAUAAGAAGAAAAGCCACAUAAAUAUUGCAAAAUCAUAGAGCCGAAAAUUCUAUUGUGCAAAAUAUCGUAUAAAUUACUACUAAAGUGGAAGUCGGUCAAAUAUAUACUAGAACGCAUGCGAUACACAACUCUAGGUCUGUGAUAGUUUUGUCGGAAACUUUCCUACUGGACUCGCGGAUUUCAAUUUUUCAUUUAGUGGAUCAGCACAAAAACAUGGAACAACAGCGCAGGAUUUUAGUCAUCUGUGUUGUUGGACUCUCUUUCCAUGGCUUAGCAGCUGCACUCUGCUUUAGAACCGGUCUGAUAACUGUGACAACCGCAAAUGGACCCAGGGAGAUUUCGGGAUGGCAAAAUGUUGGCGGCUGUACAUGUGCGGAAGCUCGGGCAAGAGCUCUGAACGUCGAUAAGCGGACGGUUGGACAACUCACGCCUAAUUGCGACGACUCCAACCCCGACCGCUUCCAAGUGUACCAGCACUGGGGCGCUGUGGGAUCUGCGUGGUGUGUCGAUCCCGUAACGGGAAACCAGAAUUCAGAAACAAGGUUCCGAGGCGUCGGUAACAUUCCCUGCAUGCCUUCAGCUGCAUAACCACACUUCUGCUACGGAAAAUCAUACGUUGCUGCACUUGCGCGACUUUAUAUUGGUUCCUAAAGAUCAAACGAUUUUGCUUAAGAAAUUCAAACAAAAUCAUUGAUCCCGUCAGAUUUUGUUGUUUGUCGAGAUUAAAAGCCCAUUCCUUUAGCAUUAGUUUAGCUGCUUUAAUUUCUUUAGCUUGCUGCCGUUGCAACCACAAAAAUCGCAUAUUGAGUUUCCGUUGUCUCUGAUUACGUCUUUGCGUGCUAAUUGUUAGGAUGAUAAUCAUGUCGGUAAAUAGUCAAAUGAACAAGGAAAAAAUUUUAA